rnacentral:tRNA from 1 species
AUGGAAUUAGCUCAAAAGGGUAGAGCUCCAGUCUCGGAACUGGUGGUUGCCGGUUCGAGUCCGGCAUUCC